UACACCAGCGAAGGCUUUCCCGGGGUGAGAGCCCUGCUCACCGCGCACCUGUGUCCCCGGGCCGGCCGCCAGUGCCUCGCCUGUCACCCCCAUUGCAGCAGAUGCCGCCGAUAGCAGCUUGCCGCUGGGCUCGGGCUGUCCGUGGGAACGGGGCACAGCUUGGCAGGGCUACAGGAGACUUCGGAGGGACGGGCAGGAGCUCUCCGGAGACGCCAGGCGGUGGAAGAGCAUGUUUCUCAAGAGCUGGGGCCAGAAGCCAGGGCCUGGUGCCUGCUAGGCAAGGGUGCUACGGCUUCUCCUCAAGAGAUGAAGUUGAUAAAUAUAUUUAUAUAAAAGGUUUUGGAAAAGGACCCAUGGAGUAUUAGUUGAGUCUGUAUUAAAUUCUGCCUGGGGCUGGAGCUGGGAUAGAUCAAGCAUUCUGGUUUUUUGUUUUAUUUUUUUGCUUCCAGUACCGGGAAUUGAA